UCAUCUUUCAGCAAAUAUAUGUGUAGUCUUUCUAUUGCAGUUCUUCGUAUCUUCGCUUCUUCGGCUGACAAGCAAUUUAUGGUUCUUUGAAUGGUCUACAAGAUGAGUUCAAAUAAAGAACACAAUAUGAGGUGAUUUGAGGUAAAAUUUUCAAAAACAUCACAAGAAAGCAGAUGAGCACAUGAUUCAACGUCAGAUAAGUUAAAAUUUUAAAAGCGGCCCACACGAAGGGCUGGAAGCAGGUGAUGUAGGUCAUUGCUAGGUGCUAUCCGAUCAAUGACGAUUAGCCAAAUACCCUAAUUUCAAAAGAAAGCCAGUAACACUUCCCCUUUCAUGUCCACUUCUGAAUUCAAUUCAGAAUCUUCGACCAUUCCACAAUUCAGGUUUCAUUUGUAGAAUUAAGCAAGGCUGAUAGAGUGUUGUUACAUCAAUUGAUCUCUUGGUGACAAAUUUAUGGGCAAAACUUUGAAGCUUCAUUCCGUGCAUAAUAUUUUAAUUUCCUCUUGAAUGAUUUGAAAUAUUAUGACUAACAUUAUAAUGUCCUACACCUAGUUGUAUUUUGAUUGUGUCGCAGAGGAUACAGUAUGAUCAUUAUGAAGUCUAAGUGCGUUUCAUACCUGGAGAAAUGCAGAUAUUACGUCCUCCUUUGUGAUAUCACUUGGGUCCACGUAUUCAUGAGGAGACUCCGCCAUCGCCAUUGCCUUUACUUACUCGAUCAACCACUCCAACCAACAACCCAAACACUGAGAAUUCUGUGCAGCAAAAGCUCACUGUAAGAUGAGUGUGCUUUCUAUCGCAUAGAUGAUCGAACAAGGAAUAGUUCUGCAAGAUAGGACUGCCAUUAUACACGUAUAGAAUGCAAACGAAUGUAACAAAAACUCUUAAAUAAAGACACAACAGAAACAUUCCACA
rnacentral:lncRNA from 1 species